rnacentral:piRNA from 1 species
UAUGCUGUCUGUGGGCUUAUGGUCCU